rnacentral:lncRNA from 1 species
UAAUCUUUCAACAAACCUAAAAGAAGAUAGCCACCUGAACAAAAUCCCAAAUCUAACUGGAAGCAACAAUUACUUUUCCUUAAUAUCUCUUAAUAUCAAUGGACUCAAUUACCCGAUAAAAAUACAUAGACAAAUAGACUGGCUAUGUAAAUAGGUCCCAACAUUUUGCUGCAUACAGGAAACCCAGAGACACACCUCAGGGACAAAGACAGACACUACCUCAGAAUAAAAGUCUAGAAAACAAUUUCUCAUGCAAAUGGUCCUAAGAAACAAGCUGGAGUAGCCAUUCUAAUAUGGAAUAAAAUUGACUCUCAACCUAAAAUUACCAUAAAAGAAAAGGAGGGACACUUCAUAAUAAUCAAAGGAAGAAGUAAAAAUGUCACUAUUUGCAGAUGAUAUGAUAGUAUACAUAAGUGACCAUUUAAUUUCACCAGAGAACACCAAAGCCUGAUAAACAACUUCAGCUAAGUAGGAAGCUGGAUAUAAAAUUAACUCAAACAAUUCAGUGGCCUUUCUCUACACAAAGAAUAAACAGGGUGAGAAAGGAAUUACGGAAAAAAAAAACACCAUUCAUAAUAAUCACAAAUACCUUUGUGUUAAACUAAGUGAGUGAAAGGUCUAUAUGAUAAGAAUUUCAAGUCUCUGAAGAAAGAAAUUGAAGAUCUCAGAAGAUGGAAAGAUCUCCUAUGCUCAAGGAUUAGAAGGAUUAAUAUAAUAAAAAUGGCUAUCGUGCCAAAAGUAAUCUACAGAUUCAAUGCAAUCCCCAUCAAAAUUCCAACUCAGUUCUCCACAGAGUUAGAAGGGCAGUUUGCAAAUUCAUCAGGAAUAACAAAAAUAUCUAGGAUAGCAAAAACUAUUCUCAACAAUAAAAGAACCUCUGGUGGAAUCACCAUCUUUGACCUCAAGCUGUGCUAAAGAGCAUUUUGAUAAAAUCUGCAUGGUACUGGUACAAUGACGGACAGGUAGAUCAAUGGAAUAGAACUGAAAACCCAGAAAUGAACCCACACACCUAUGCUCCCUUGAUCUUUGACAAAGAGCUAAAAUUAUCCAGUGGAAAAAGGAGAGCAUUUUCAACAAUCAGUGCUGGCACAAAGGGCAAUUAGCAUGCAGAAGACUGCUAAUUGAAUCAUUUUUAUAUCCUUGUUCAAAGGUUAAAUCUAAUUGAAUCAAGGAACUCCAAGUAAAACCAGAGACACUGAAGCUUGUAGAAGAGAAAUUGGGGAAGAUCCUUGAACAUAUGGGCACAGGGGGAAAAUUCCUGAAAAGAACAGCAAUGGCUUGUUCUGUAAGAUCAAGAAUUAACAAAAGAGACCUCAUAAAGUUGUAAAACUUCUGUAAGGCAAAGGACACUGUCAAUGAGACAGAAAGGCAACAAGGCAACAAACAGAUUGGGAAAGGAUCGUUAGCAGUCCUAAAUCUGAUAGGAGGCUAAUAUCCAAUAUAU